rnacentral:tRNA from 1 species
AGUCCUUGGGAGGAACGUUUCCCCCUUUUCUGGUUUACAAGACCAGGGUAAUGUGCGA